CUUUAGCCCACUAGUCUCCCCCUUCCCUCAUACAUGUAGUGCACUUAUACAAAGAAUGUAUGGGCUCCUGAGAGGUUUAGGACAGCUGAUGAGGUCAUGUGAUUCUGAGCUAAGUGGUGGUGAUAAGUAGCCUUUAGGUUCCUACAAUAUAGGAUCCGCUCAGUGGAGAUCUUCUAUAAAAGAUCCUUCUCCUGACUGACCCGUCAAGGAUGGAUAGGGACAGAGAGAAGAUGGCGGAGAGUAUAAUAAAUCUCACCCUAGAGAUCCUCUUCCAGCUUACUGGAGAGGACUACACAGUAGUGAAGAAGACCUUUAGUGGGCGCUGUCAGGCCCCUGUGUC